rnacentral:rRNA from 1 species
AUUGAACGCUGGCGGCAGGCCUAACACAUGCAAGUCGAGCGGAUGAAGGGAGCCUGCUCCUGGAUUCAGCGGCGGACGGGUGAGUAAUGCCUAGGAAUCUGCCUGGUAGUGGGGGAUAACGUCCCGAAACGGGCGCUAAUACCGCAUACGUCCUGAGGGAGAAAGUGGGGGAUCUUCGGACCUCACGCUAUCAGAUGAGCCUAGGUCGGAUUAGCUAGUUGGUGGGGUAAAGGCCUACCAAGGCGACGAUCCGUAACUGGUCUGAGAGGAUGAUCAGUCACACUGGAACUGAGACACGGUCCAGACUCCUACGGGAGGCAGCAGUGGGGAAUAUUGGACAAUGGGCGAAAGCCUGAUCCAGCCAUGCCGCGUGUGUGAAGAAGGUCUUCGGAUUGUAAAGCACUUUAAGUUGGGAGGAAGGGCAGUAAGUUAAUACCUUGCUGUUUUGACGUUACCAACAGAAUAAGCACCGGCUAACUUCGUG